rnacentral:rRNA from 1 species
GACGAACGCUGGCGGCGUGCCUAACACAUGCAAGUCGAGCGAAUGCAGUUCCUUCGGGAACGGAUUUAGCGGCGGACGGGUGAGUAACACGUGGGCAACCUGCCUCAUAGAGGGGAAUAGCCUUCCGAAAGGGAGAUUAAUACCGCAUAAGAUUGUAGUACCGCAUGGUACAGCAAUUAAAGGAGCAAUCCGCUAUGAGAUGGGCCCGCGGCGCAUUAGCUAGUUGGUGAGGUAACGGCUCACCAAGGCGACGAUGCGUAGCCGACCUGAGAGGGUGAUCGGCCACAUUGGGACUGAGACACGGCCCAGACUACUACGGGAGGCAGCAGUGGGGAAUAUUGCACAAUGGGGGAAACCCUGAUGCAGCAACGCCGCGUGAGUGAUGACGGCCUUCGGGUUGUAAAGCUCUGUAUUCAGGGACGAUAAUGACGGUACCUGAGGAGGAAGCCACGGCUAACUACGUG